AUUGAACGCUGGCGGCAUGCUUUACACAUGCAAGUCGAACGGCAGCGCGGGGCAACCUGGCGGCGAGUGGCGGACGGGUGAGUAAUAUAUCGGAACGUACCCAGAAGUGGGGGAUAACGUAGCGAAAGUUACGCUAAUACCGCAUACGAUCUACGGAUGAUAGUAGGGGACCGCAAGGCCUUAUGCUGUUGUAGCGGCCGAUAUCUGAUUAGCUAGUUGGUGAGGUAAAGGCUCACCAAGGCGACGAUCAGUAGCUGGUCUGAGAGGACGACCAGCCACACUGGAACUGAGACACGGUCCAGACUCCUACGGGAGGCAGCAGUGGGGAAUUUUGGACAAUGGGCGCAAGCCUGAUCCAGCAAUGCCGCGUGAGUGAGGAAGGCCUUCGGGUUGUAAAGCUCUUUUGUCAGGGAAGAAACGGUAGAGGCUAAUAUCCUUUGCUAAUGACGGUACCUGAAGAAUAAGCACCGGCUAACUACGUG
rnacentral:rRNA from 1 species